GUAGCAGUUGACAGCCAAUUUGUUGACAAUUUGCUUCCACGGUGAAAUUGUUCUCUCCUUGUCCUUAUUGGUGUCGCAGAGGAAAAGAAAGUAUUUCAACGGAGUGCAUGGGACGUGAUGCAGAUCAACACAGAUUGUAAUGGAGGACGAUGCUAAGGAGAGGAUGAUGGAACAUGCUGACAGUCACGGUGUGCGGCCUCACCAUGGAAAAUUACAUUGAAAGUGCUGCAGUGAAUGGGCCAUGCUAACCUCCCAGCUCGCCACAGCAAUGUACAGCUAUAUCACAGAGGAACAACUAAGACCAUACUCUUCAGCUGCAUAACUGUGUGGGAAGCUGCUCAAGCUACAAGUGCCUUUGAGGCUCCACUCCCCCCUGCAAGACAUACCCCCUGCUUCAUCUUUAAAGGACUGACGGUUGGCAGUGAUGCAUGCUGCUCAGCCUUCUGCCCUC